GAUGAACGCUGGCGGCGUGCCUAAUACAUGCAAGUCGAGCGAACGGACGAGAAGCUUGCUUUUCUGAUGUUAGCGGCGGACGGGUGAGUAACACGUGGAUAACCUACCUAUAAGACUGGGAUAACUUCGGGAAACCGGAGCUAUUACCGGAUAAUAUUUUGAACCGCAUGGUUCAUAAGUGAAAGACGGUCUUGCUGUCACUUAUAGAUGGAUCCGCGCUGCAUUAGCUAGUUGGUAAGGUAACGGCUUACCAAGGCAACGAUGCAUAGCCGACCUGAGAGGGUGAUCGGCCACACUGGAACUGAGACACGGUCCAGACUCCUACGGGAGGCAGCAGUAGGGAAUCUUCCGCAAUGGGCGAAAGCCUGACGGAGCAACGCCGCGUGAGUGAUGAAGGUCUUCGGAUCGUAAAACUCUGUUAUUAGGGAAGAACAUAUGUGUAAGUAACUGUGCACAUCUUGACGGUACCUAAUCAGAAAGCCACGGCUAACUACGUG
rnacentral:rRNA from 1 species